CAGUCGCCGCGGGAAUACGUAGGUGGCAAGCGUUGUCCGGAAUUAUUGGGCGUAAAGGGCUCGCAGGCGGUUUCUUAAGUCUGAUGUGAAAGCCCCCGGCUCAACCGGGGAGGGUCAUUGGAAACUGGGAAACUUGAGUGCAGAAGAGGAGAGUGGAAUUCCACGUGUAGCGGUGAAAUGCGUAGAGAUGUGGAGGAGCACCAGUGGCGAAGGCGACUCUCUGGUCUGUAACUGACGCUGAGGAGCGAAAGCGUGGGGAGCGAACAGGAUUAGAUACCCCGGUAGUCCCUGUCUCUUACAC
rnacentral:rRNA from 1 species